rnacentral:rRNA from 1 species
AACCUACCUUUAACUGAGGGAUAGCUCCGGGAAACCGGAAUUAAUACCUCAUAACAUCCCAACAUCGCAUGUUGAUGGGAUUAAAACCCUGGUGGUUAAAGAUGGGCAUGCGCAGCAUUAGCUAGUUGGUGAGGUAACGGCUCACCAAGGCGACGAUGCUUAGGGGGUCUGAGAGGAUGAUCCCCCACACUGGUACUGAGACACGGACCAGACUCCUACGGGAGGCAGCAGUGAGGAAUAUUGGGCAAUGGGCGCAAGCCUGACCCAGCCAUGCCGUGUGCAGGAUGACAGUCCUACGGAUUGUAAACUGCUUUUGUAUGGGAAGAAUUUUCUUGAUUCUUCAAGAAUUGACGGUACCGUACGAAUAAGGACCGGCUAACUCCGUGCCAGCAGCCGCGGUAAUACGGAGGGUCCAAGCGUUAUCCGGAUUCACUGGGUUUAAAGCGUGCGUAGGCGGAGUAGUAAGUCGAUGGUGAAAGCCUGCAGCUCAACUGUAGAAUUGCCAUUGAUACUGCUAUUCUUGAGUAUAGUUGAGGGAAAUGGAAUGUGUAAUGUAGCGGUGAAAUGCAUAGAUAUUACGCAGAACACCAAUUGCGAAAGCAGUUUCCUAAACUAUUACUGACGCUCAGGCACGAAAGCGUGGGGAGCGAACAGGAUUAGAUACCCUGGUAGUCCACGCUGUAAACGAUGCUCACUAGCUGUUGGCGAUAUACCGUCAGCGGCUGAGCGAAAGCGUUAAGUGAGCCACCUGGGAAGUACGUCCGCAAGGAUGAAACUCAAAGGAAUUGACGGGGGCCCGCACAACCGGUGGAACAUGUGGUUCAAUUCGAUGCUACGCGAGGAACCUUACCUGGGCUUAAAUGUAGAACGACGUCCCGAGAAAUCGGGAUUCCCUUCGGGGCGGACUACAAGGUGCUGCACGGCUGUCGUCAGCUCGUGCCUUGAGGUAUCGGGUUAAGUCCCUUAACGAGCGCAACCCCUAUUGUUAGUUGCCAUCAGGUAAUGCUGGGGACUCUAGCAAAACUGCCAGCGUAAGCUGGAGGAAGGUGGGGAUGACGUCAAGUCAGCAUGGCCCUUAUGCCCAGGGCUACACACGUGUUACAAUGGCCGGUACAAAGGGCAGCCAUCACGCAAGUGAGAGCUAAUCCCUAAAGUCGGUCUUAGUUCGGAUCGAAGUCUGCAAUUCGACUUCGUGAAGGCGGAAUCGGUAGUAAUCGCGCAUCAGCAACGGCGCGGUGAAUACGUUCCCGGGCCUUGUACACACUGCCCGUCAAGCCAUGGAAGUUGGUGUUGCCUGAAGUCUGUGACCAUCUAGGAGCGGCCUAAGGCAAGACCAAUGA